AGAAAAGAAAGAAAAGAAAUUAAGAUGCGUCCAUAACAAAGAGUUAAUAAUAAUGCAUCACACUGUCUUAAACAUAAAAGGAUACGCGGGGCAGAGGAUAACUAUUUGAUCGGAAUCAGAUGGCGGAGGAAACUCUGUCUGUCUGUCGUCGUCGAUGACCUCCGUCUCCUAUCGGAAUCUCUCCCCUUCCUCACUACGAUUCUCUUUCGUUUCUGCACAUUGCACAAUCUCCUACCCGAUCUCUCUGUCUCUCUCGGGAGCUACUUUUUAUAUGCUUCUGCCUUUCGAUUUAACUUAAUAGGAAUUCCGGUUCAGGAUACAUGUGAUUUUAUAAACGUCGGUUGGUUCUUUGUGCGCUAAAUUUCUUUUACUUAUUUAUGUUGUGUAUUAGCUUUCUGCUAAUACUAUAGGCUGUCAACAAAUCUAGAAUGGAGAAGGGACUAUCCCUUGGCUUUGAGAGCAUGAUUAUCCCUAGCAUCCCUAAUAGGGUUCUUAAUUAAUUUUUUAGUAAUAAAUGGGUGUUAAGCACUUAAUUUAAGAAACCUCUAAAUUGUUGUCCUCCAAUGCAAGUAUCUUAUUUAGGGGUUCUUAAGAAAAAAAUUAAACAUUGAGACAUAAAACAUUUCAAACAUACUCUACAAGAGUUCACAAGAAUACAAGUAAUACGUACCAUCGUAGUCAUGACAAAAGACAUGAAUCAUAAAGAGUAGAAGUAUUUCAAGACACAAAACAUUAAGAUAAGAAGUGGAUACCUUGUUGAUCCUAAGCUUGAA